UUUAUGGAGAGUUUGAUCCUGGCUCAGGAUGAACGCUGGCGGCGUGCCUAAUACAUGCAAGUCGAGCGAACAGAUAAGGAGCUUGCUCCUUUGACGUUAGCGGCGGACGGGUGAGUAACACGUGGAUAACCUACCUAUAAGACUGGGAUAACUUCGGGAAACCGGAGCUAAUACCGGAUAACAUAUUGAACCGCAUGGUUCAAUAGUGAAAGGCGGCUUUGCUGUCACUUAUAGAUGGAUCCGCGCCGUAUUAGCUAGUUGGUAAGGUAACGGCUUACCAAGGCAACGAUACGUAGCCGACCUGAGAGGGUGAUCGGCCACACUGGAACUGAGACACGGUCCAGACUCCUACGGGAGGCAGCAGUAGGGAAUCUUCCGCAAUGGGCGAAAGCCUGACGGAGCAACGCCGCGUGAGUGAUGAAGGUCUUCGGAUCGUAAAACUCUGUUAUCAGGGAAGAACAAAUGUGUAAGUAACUGUGCACAUCUUGACGGUACCUGAUCAGAAAGCCACGGCUAACUACGUGCCAGCAGCCGCGGUAAUACGUAGGUGGCAAGCGUUAUCCGGAAUUAUUGGGCGUAAAGCGCGCGUAGGCGGUUUUUUAAGUCUGAUGUGAAAGCCCACGGCUCAACCGUGGAGGGUCAUUGGAAACUGGAAAACUUGAGUGCAGAAGAGGAAAGUGGAAUUCCAUGUGUAGCGGUGAAAUGCGCAGAGAUAUGGAGGAACACCAGUGGCGAAGGCGACUUUCUGGUCUGUAACUGACGCUGAUGUGCGAAAGCGUGGGGAUCAAACAGGAUUAGAUACCCUGGUAGUCCACGCCGUAAACGAUGAGUGCUAAGUGUUAGGGGGUUUCCGCCCCUUAGUGCUGCAGCUAACGCAUUAAGCACUCCGCCUGGGGAGUACGACCGCAAGGUUGAAACUCAAAGGAAUUGACGGGGACCCG
rnacentral:rRNA from 1 species